rnacentral:rRNA from 1 species
UUCGCAAUGCCCGAAAGGGUGACGAAGCGACGCCGCGUGUGGGAAGAAGGCCUUCGGGUUGUAAACCACUGUCGGGAGUUAAGAAAUGCAAGGAUAUUAAUAGUGUCUUUGUUUGACUAAGGCUCCGGAGGAAGCCACGGCUAACUCUGUGCCAGCAGCCGCGGUAAUACAGAGGCGGCAAGCGUUGUUCGGAAUUAUUGGGCGUAAAGAGCACGUAGGCGGCUAUGUAAGUCAGUUGUGAAAGCCUUCCGCUUAACGGAAGAAUGCCAGCUGAUACUACAGGGCUUGAGUACGGGAGGGGAGAGUGGAACUUCUGGUGGAGCGGUGAAAUGCGUAGAUAUCAGAAGGAACGCCGGCGGCGAAAGCGGCUCUCUGGCCCAUAACUGACGCUGAGUGUGCGAAAGCUAGGGGAGCAAACGGGAUUAGAUACCCCGGUAGUCCCAGCCGUAAACGAUGGGCACUAAGUAGAGGGGUUUU